CGGAGCCAGAGUCCCGAGGGAGGGGCGUAGUCGGUCCCUGGAGGGGGGCGCGUGGUCGAGCGGGGCUGGGUCCUAAGGGAUGCGAAGGCGGUGGAGGAGUUCAGAAGCGCUUGUCUCUCACCAGGCCAUUCCUCAGCGGCUUCCUAGAGGCCAGAACCGGGCCGCGGUUAGCCCCGGGCCCCAUGCCCCACAUACUGCCCUGUCCCGACUGUCUUGCCCUCCACUUCUUUUUCCUACCCGGCGAGGGCUCACCUGGGUCCUUCUUCCCUUCCCACAGGGCCAGAAGACCUUGCCUUCCGCCCACUGGGCAUGGCGUAAACCCUCCUCUCUCCUCCCUCCUGAGCCAUCCACAGCCCGGCCGCUGGGAAGUAAAAGCCCUCCGCCUGACUUCCGUCUUCUGCACCUUAAUUUUCCAAAAACGCAACGCUGAAAUCGCUCCCAUGUGCCCCACUGCUCUCUGUAAAUUCCAUUUCCCCUGCCUGUAUCAGUGGCAGGUCUCUGGGGUUCCGACUGGGAGGGGACCUGGGCACUGGGGGUCUGCCCACGACCAUCUUACCAGAUUCAACAAGGGUUUCUGCCCCUGCUCCUUGGUGCCUUUGCCAGUGCCUGCUGGUGCGGAAACCGCAUCUUACUGUGGCUUAAUGGUCAUGGUAUUGCCUAUUCCUUUUCCCACUUAGGCGAGCCCUUCCUGUCCUUGCACAUGGUCUGUCUCCGCAGAAGUGGAUUCCACCUUCUGGUUUACAUACAGAUGUAUCAAGUUUCUUGAGCUGGUUCAUUGCACCACUAUGGGGAAAAAAGAAUCAGAACAAGGGCGGAAGCUGGAGGGUGAUGAAUGAGGGCAGGCAGCGUCUCGGGUGGAUUCUGGAUGUUUCCUCAGAGCUCCCGAAUUAAAAGUGGUCCCCGUCGUCAUUCCUUGCUGUUCUCAAACCUCACUGCAUUUUUGCCUAUGAAGCCUGCACGAUCCUGGUUCUGAGCGCUUGAGAUUUCCCCCGGGGGCUGGGUUUGGUCAGUUGUGAGAAAUGCCCUGUGCUUCAAAAGGACAUCUGUUCACCCUGCUUCUGGGCGGCUUGUGAGCCCAGACCACUUCCCUCAGUCCCCUCAAGUGGAGAUUCUGGGUUGUACACCGUGGAACGUUCCAGAUCAAGAAUGCCGCCUGAAUUUCUUGUCCCAUCCUUUUACUCGCAACUUUCACGUACUCUGGACUUGAAGCCUUUUAACCAGUACAGAGGUGGAUAUUGAAGGAAAAAAAAAGUCUUG